UAGUUUUGUUGGAAAAGCACUUGUCUAGCAAAUAAGGGUCGUGAGUUCAAAUCUCAC
rnacentral:tRNA from 1 species